rnacentral:rRNA from 1 species
UACGGGGGGGGCAAGCGUUGUUCGGAAUUACUGGGCGUAAAGGGUUUGUAGGUGGCUUGUUAAGUCAGACGUGAAAUCCCUCAGCUUAACCGGGGAACUGCGUCCGAUACUGGAUGGCUUGAGUUCGGGAGAGGGAUGCGGAAUUCCAGGUGUAGCGGUGAAAUGCGUAGAUAUCUGGAGGAACACCGGUGGCGAAGGCGACAUCCUGGACCGACACUGACGCUGAGGAGCGAAAGCCAGGGGAGCAAACGGG